rnacentral:rRNA from 1 species
GACUGCGUACCUUUUGUAUAAUGGGUCAGCGACUUAUAUUCUGUAGCAAGGUUAACCGCAUAGGGGAGCCGGAGGGAAACCGAGUCUUAAUUGGGCGUUAAGUUGCAGGGUAUAGACCCGAAACCCGGUGAUCUAGCCAUGGGCAGGUUGAAGGUUGGGUAACACUAACUGGAGGACCGAACCGACUAAUGUUGAAAAAUUAGCGGAUGACCUGUGGCUGGGGGUGAAAGGCCAAUCAAACCGGGAGAUAGCUGGUUCUCCCCGAAAGCUAUUUAGGUAGCGCCUCGUGAAUUCAUCUCCGGGGGUAGAGCACUGUUUCGGCUAGGGGGCCAUCCCGGCUUACCAACCCGAUGCAAACUGCGAAUACCGGAGAAUGUUAUCACGGGAGACACACGGCGGGUGCUAACGUCCGUCGUGAAGAGGGAAACAACCCAGACCGCCAGCUAAGGUCCCAAAGUCAUGGUUAAGUGGGAAACGAUGUGGGAAGGCCCAGACAGCCAGGAUGUUGGCUUAGAAGCAGCCAUCAUUUAAAGAAAGCGUAAUAGCUCACUGGUCGAGUCGGCCUGCGCGGAAGAUGUAACGGGGCUAAACCAU